ACAAAAUCAUAAUAUAGAUUCCAUUCUGAAAUUGUGGAGUGUUGUAAUCGUGAUAAUAUUUAUCUAUCAAUAUUUAUAUUUACAUCAGUGUCACAAUUUUGAAAUUUAAAUCAUUGUGUUAGUUAAAAAAAAAAUAAUAUAUAAUUUAUUUUCAACAGAUUCUUUGCUGGAAUGUAUCAAACAUAAUUAUAACAGUCUAUCAAAACAAUUAGCAAAUUUAAAAGGCCAUAUCUGCUGACGUUCCCAAAUCCUAUCUGAAAUAAAAAAAUAACAGUACUCAGCUGUUAGAGUUCAGUUUAUUAACAGAUCCUGAAGGAAAUCCAGUGGUCCAAAAAUUAGAAUUUCCGCUAUCAACAAUGGAAGAUAUUAUUUUGAUAAAUGCAAUGAAAAAUUAAAAGGCCAAAAAUAUAAAAAAAAAAUGAAUAAACGUAUAUAUACUUUUCUCUUGAUGGAAAAAAUACUUUUACCCGUAAUAUGGGAAAUAUUACUCGUGUUUAUAUAUCAAGAGAUGUCAUAUGUAGCGGUUAAAGCAACUUCAAAAAAAAGUUUUCAAAGAUACGACUUUUUCACUUCUAUAAAAAGUAUGUUAAUCAUUAUAUAGUGCAGAAUUACUAUCAUUGAUACCUAAUUAAUUAUUUCUUAA